rnacentral:rRNA from 1 species
UACGUAGGGUGCAAGCGUUGUCCGGAAUUAUUGGGCGUAAAGCGCACGUAGGCGGAUUUGUUAGUCAGGGGUGAAAUCCCGAGGCUCAACCUCGGAACUGCCUUUGAUACUGCAAAUCUCGAGUCCGGAAGAGGUGAGUGGAAUUCCUAGUGUAGAGGUGAAAUUCGUAGAUAUUAGGAAGAACACCAGUGGCGAAGGCGGCUCACUGGUCCGGUACUGACGCUGAGGUGCGAAAGCGUGGGGAGCAAACAGGG